rnacentral:lncRNA from 1 species
GGGUGUAACAAUACUGAAGAUUGUAUUCAACUCCAUAAUGAAAUCGAAGAGCUUAUUUGAAGAGGAAUGUUGGACCAUUUCAUCCACAGAAUAAAGGAAGGUCCUGCACAUCCACAAAGGGCACCUUGGCACGAAGAGCAACCCCAGCAGGAUUAGUCCAUGAAAAAUCAACCAAUGGUAGGAAUCAUCAAUACCAUCACUAGGGGGCAUGGAGGAAUGGGUCCGGAGAGUUCCACCAAA